CUUUUGAAUAUAAUUUAAGGUCUGACCUGCCCACUGAGGAGUUAAAUGGCCGCGGUAUUUUGACCGUGCAAAGGUAGCAUAAUCAUUAGUUUUUUAAUUGAAAGCUGGUAUGAAAGGUUGGAUGAGAAAAUUACUGUCUCUAUCUUAAUUAAAUAGAAUUUUAUUUUUAAGUAAAAAAGCUUAAAUGUAUAUAGAAGACGAGAAGACCCUAUAGAGUUUUAUACAUUGGUAUAAUAAGCUUUUUAGAAUUUUAUAUUUUGUUGUAUUUAUGUAUUUGGUUGGGGUGAUUGAAAAAUUGAAUAAACUUUUUUUUUAUAAGAACAUUAAUUUAUGAAUAAUUGAUCCUAAAAUUUAGAUUAUAAGGAAAAAUUACCUUAGGGAUAACAGCGUAAUUUUUUUUGAGAGUUCUAAUCGAGAAAAAAGUUUGCGACCUCGAUGUUGGAUUAAAAUUAAUUUUUGGUGUAGAAGCUAAA
rnacentral:rRNA from 1 species